rnacentral:rRNA from 1 species
GAUGAACGCUAGCGGCAGGCUUAAUACAUGCAAGUCGAGGGGCAGCAUGAUUGUAGCAAUACAAUUGAUGGCGACCGGCAAACGGGUGCGGAACACGUACACAACCUUCCAACAAGUGGGGGAUAGCCCAGAGAAAUUUGGAUUAAUACCCCGUAACCUAGCGAUGUGGCAUCACAUUGCUAUUAUAGAUUUUUCGCUUGUUGAUGGGUGUGCGGCUGAUUAGAUAGUUGGCGGGGUAACGUCCCACCAAGUCUACGAUCAGUAGCUGAUGUGAGAGAAUGAUCAGCCACACGGGCACGGGAAAAAGGGCUCUACUCCUACGGGAGGCAGCAGUAAGGAAUAUUGGUCACUGGACGCAAGUCUGAUCCAGCCAUGCCGCGUGAAGGAUUAAAGUCCUCUGGGUUGUAAACUUCUUUUAUAAGGGACGAAAAAAGGCUUUUCUAAGUCGUCUGACGGUACCUUAUGAAUAAGCACCGGCUAACUCCGUGCCAGCCGCCGCAGUAAAAC